rnacentral:lncRNA from 1 species
GAAGAAGAAAAAUAAGCUCUUAAACUGGACACAAUGGCACAUACAUGUCUGUAAUCCCAGUGACUCAGAAGGAUGAAGCAGGAGGAUUGCAAGUUUAAGGCUAGCCUCAGCAACUUAGUGAGACCUUGUCUCAAAAUAAAAAGGGCUGGGAAUGUAGCUAAGUGGUAGAGUGCCCCUGUGCUCAAUCCCCAGUAUCCACCCGCCAAGAAAAAAAUACCUCUUAAACUUUUCUUUUAUAAAUUGGAAAACUUUAAUCAGUUCCCUGAAAUCUCAGUGGGCUCCUGGUGCACCAUCUGCCUGGCCUCUGUUCUGUGCUGACCCAAAGCAUGGGGGCUGGCUGCCCACCCUCCUCCUGCACACACACACACACACACACACACACACACUCGGAACUCAUUGUUACUAACUUUGAAUGGAAGCUUUUAGCUGCUCUAUUCUUCUUGGGUUCAUUGAAGGCUUGUCAAUGGAAUGGGAAUUACAACCCUGGCAGCUGCUAUCUGUAUCCGUUGUCUGGCUGGCUGGUGUGUUACUGGUUAUAUGUCCCAGAGAAUUAAUCCCCUAAAUGUGGAUGGCGAAUGAUGAAAACCUAGCACAUAAAUAAGGAAGCAAGCAGCUAUCUGCUGACAAACCUCAGGAAGCAAUUGUCUAGUCCCAAUGCAUUAUAUGCAAUGCUCCUAAACUCCAGGGCCCGUCAUCCACAGGACAGAUAGACUUCAUUCAUUCAUUCAUUCAGUGGACAUAUGAGGAACGGAGCACUUAUUCCCUGUCAAUGUUCUGGAUGUUUUAUGUGAGUGAUGUUGUAUAAGACUUGCAAUGGUCCUAUAAUAGAAAAGUUCAGGAAUAUGGAGAUUUAGAGAAAUUUCCCCAAAGUCACAUAGUGGAAACAGGACUUGAAGCUGGAUUCCUCAGGGCUUAGAUUAUUUAGAAUUUCUUUUCUUUUCUUCUUCUUUCCUCUCUUCUCUCUUGCCUGCCUUCCUUCUACACUUAUUUACAACAUUCUCCAUAUGCUAGGCACCAUGGAUGUCCCAGUGAACGAGACAGCAGAUAUAAGCUCUUUCUUGUCCCUCUUCCAUUGAGUCCUGUGACUCCCGGGUAUCACCUCAACCCUCUACAGUUUCUUCUGGAAUGUUCUAAUGCACAAAUGCAAGACAGACCCAAGAGUGAUGACAUUGAAGAUGAAUUAAAUUCAGGCCCUGGGCUCAUGCUUCCUUGGAUACAGACUUCAAAUCUCAUGGCUCAAAAACAUGCCAAACAAAUCUUAACCCACCCCUCCCCUGCUCCCAAACCUCCCACGGCCUGAGGCUCAGCUCAUAUCUCUGUGACAUGAGAAAUGGUCAAGGUCCAAGUGGAGGCUCUCUCUACGAGCUGAAUCACAUGGAAAGGAUGGGGCGAUCAUUUUCACAAGUACCUUUCUGUGCAUAAUGUGAAAUUCAUGGAUGGAUGGCAUCAUCUGGGCAUCCAGCCAGGGGAGGCAUUUCUCCAAACUGAAGGACAAGGUGAGAUGGAAAGACCAGCUCUCCUUGAAGGAUGCCCUCAAGUCACGCACAUACCCUGUUCAUUUGUGAACAGCACCCAGACCUUCCAUUUACCAUUGGUGCACGGGUGUAUAUAGUCAGGUAAGUUUGCACUUAGGUUAUGUGUGUAAACAUGUGCUGUGGGGUAGCAAUGGUUAAUUUUAGUGGACACAUUUAUUUUAAUAGUUUUGUAAAUUAUACCAGGAUUGUAUUUAUAGCAUCAUUAAGGAUCUGAAGGAGUCACUUAAAUGUUUAAGUUAUACUUUGCUGUGGUUUUAUG